UACGAUGGGGGCUAGCGUUGCUCGGAAUUCCUGGGCGUAAAGCGCACGUAGGCGGACUUUUAAGUCGGGGGUGAAAUCCUGGAGCUCAACUCCAGAACUGCCUCCGAAACUGAAAGCCUUGAGUCCGGGAGAGGUGAGUGGAACUGCGAGUGUAGAGGUGAAAUUCGUAGAUAUUCGCAAGAACACCAGUGGCGAAGGCGGCUCACUGGCCCGAUACUGACGCUGAGGUGCGAAAGCGUGGGGAGCAAACAGG
rnacentral:rRNA from 1 species